AAAUACGAAAGGCAGAAAAAAAACCAAGUGAGAGGAGUAAGUACCCGCGGCGCGGUCACGCAGCGCCGGGAGCCUGCCCCCAAAAUCCCGCUUUCUGAGCCCGUUUAGCGCCGGGGAAGCACGCCGGACCCAAAAUCCCGCUUUCCGAGCCCGUUUUGCGCUGCGGACACGAGCGCGAACCCCAAAAUCCCGCCUUCCGAGCCCGUUUUGCGCCGGGGACGCCGCGCCACCGGAAACCCCCCCCCCCCCCCAAAAACCCCACAAAAAUGGGGCCCAAAAUCGCCUUAAAUUGCCCCAAAAAAAAAAGGGAAAAAAAGGACAAAACGGCCAAAAAAAAAAGCAAAAGGCGCCGGUGGCGGCACUCCCGACGGACGGGGUUCGAGUCCCCGCGGCGCCUGCUGC
rnacentral:lncRNA from 1 species